UCUGGGACGGAAGGAUUCGAACCUCCGAGUAACGGGACCAAAACCCGUU
rnacentral:tRNA from 1 species